GACGAACGCUGGCGGCGUGCCUAACACAUGCAAGUCGAACGGAGUUGUUCCUUCGGGGACAACUUAGUGGCGAACGGGUGAGUAACGCGUGAGAAACCUGCCUUUCAGUGGGGGACAACAGUUGGAAACGACUGCUAAUACCGCAUAAUGUUAUUUGGGGGCAUCCCUGAAUAACCAAAGAUUUAUUGCUGAAAGAUGGUCUCGCGUCUGAUUAGCUAGUUGGUGAGGUAACGGCUCACCAAGGCGACGAUCAGUAGCCGGUCUGAGAGGAUGAACGGCCACAUUGGGACUGAGAUACGGCCCAGACUCCUACGGGAGGCAGCAGUGGGGAAUAUUGGGCAAUGGGCGAAAGCCUGACCCAGCAACGCCGCGUGAAGGAAGAAGGCCUCGGUUGUAACGUUACUUUUACCUACGGGUACGAAGAACGUAGACGGUACC
rnacentral:rRNA from 1 species